CAGACAGCCUUGCCAUAUUAGGCACUAAAGAUAUCUGUACAUUAUAACGGUUUUUUAGAGCUGGUUGGGAAAGACAGGUAAAGUAACGGGUGUCUUAGCUCACAUUAACAGAUGGAAAUGAACAAUCCCACUUUUCAGGAAGCUUUGGUUGAACCAUUUCUUAACGCUUUUUCUUCUCCUUCCCCAAGCAAGGACACGCUUAGGCCAAAAAUGAUAGGAAUCAAGAAUUGGAUCCAGAGGAUUCAGCUGGUGGGAAAAGAUGGGCAAAACUCCAUGUGUUGUCUGUUGUGGGCAUCACCAGUUGUCUUUCUCUGCUGGUUCCAGUACCUCCUCCCCAGCUGUAUGUGCCCAUUAUGGCUUUCUAACAGCACAGCAGAGAACACAUGAAAGUGCUUACUCGCCUUCAUUUCUUCAGCUAUUGAAGUGCUCAGAUGGAGAACUGUGCCCUCCCAGCAAAAAAUGACCUGAGUGUCACGAGGCAACUCAUGCUUUUCCAUGACCCACGUCCCUCACUCCCUCUUGGACUUCAGCACACCUCAGGGAGCUGCAGGCCUGGCCUGUUGGGCAAUAGGACUGUGAACCAAUGCUGGUGGGAUUCCUGCAUUGGGCAACAGAGGCAUUAAUCCAACAGUUGGGAUGUGUGGUUGUGAAAGAACCGAGCCAGGCCCUUAGCACACACCAACAGAAGGAUAUGGAACAACCGCGGAGUUGCACAGAGCUGCAGUUGCACCACUUCCCCUGUGACAGGAUCAGGUUCAAAGGGAUGUUGCCAUGUCUCCCACGUUUUGUUUGUGGUCCCACCUCGCCUUGCUGAGACAGACAUCUCUCAGAAAGCCAAGAGCUCUGCCAAGUGGGCUUCCCUCUGUCACCUCUACAGCCAUCUCCCCUCUCUUUGUGCAAAACCAGCCCCAGGUUCACCUGCUUUGGAGGUAGGGCUGUGCCAGCUCUCCUCUUCCUCCUGGAGCUUUCCUAAUGCUUGUGCUGGAGAGGAACUUGUCAGUGAGAGGCUUCAGGCUGCGUUGCACUGGGAGUCCCCCAGACCAGGCAGAACAUGAGGCAAUACCACCAGGAACGAAGAUUGGUGCCAGACUUUUCCCAGUGGGCAGACCAAAUGGGAAAGUCCAGUUCUGCUCUAAAAACGUGAGAAAUUCCCUGUGAAGAUGCAUGGGCCUAUGGCAGUGUUUGGACCAGGCAUCCAACUACCAUGAAUGCGUAGGGAUUGCUAUGGCUAUGCCCAGCUCCUGGUGCAUGCUCAGACAUCUCCUGCCAGACCAAUUCCCACACCUGUGUCUCGUGUAAAAAGCCACAAACCCAAGUGCACGUGGAUGUCAGAGAUGUGUGCACGCCUUGCUAGAUACAGCAGUGUGUGCCUGCCCCAGUGCCUGAGCAAAACCC
ensembl:lncRNA